AAGAUAAUGACGGUACUUGAGGAGGAAGCCCCGGCUAACUACGUGCCAGCAGCCGCGGUAAUACGUAGGGGGCUAGCGUUAUCCGGAUUUACUGGGCGUAAAGGGUGCGUAGGCGGUCUGUCAAGUCAGGAGUGAAAGGCUACGGCUCAACCGUAGUAAGCUCUUGAAACUGGGAGACUUGAGUGCAGGAGAGGAGAGUGGAAUUCCUAGUGUAGCGGUGAAAUGCGUAGAUAUUAGGAGGAACACCAGUUGCGAAGGCGGCUCUCUGGACUGU
rnacentral:rRNA from 1 species